UCUUAGCGCCCCCCACCCUCUAUGGAGACAUUUCAACCAGGGAGAAGGGAAGUCCUGCCCUUGCCCCUCGCCCCCGCCCUGCUCCUCCAACAGGGGAGACUUCUGUCCAAACCUUGGAAAGAAACGAGAUGCCAGGCCUAGCGCCUUCGGGGAUCCUCUCUGGACAAGGCCACAGGGUGAAAACACCAGCACUUCCUGGAGGCGUUUGACCGGGACCUGGGAGGGCAGCUGAGAAGUGCCUGACCAUUCUCAAGGAGCUGCGUGGAUUCCAGACAUCUCUGGGCUGGUCUCUGGACCGGGAUGGGGGACCCAGAGGUGGAGCCGAACACACAAGCAGCACUUGAGGGCUCCGAGGGUGGCAAGGAGAGAAGUUCCUGCUCUGGUACAGCCCUGGGACCUUGAAAGGUGCUUCAACAGAGCGUCCACUCCCAGCGCCUAGCUCUGGGACCUUGAAUGGUGCUUUAACAGAGCGUCUGCUCCCAGCGCCAAGCCCUCAGUGCAGAGGGGGAGACUCAGGCGGCCCUCAGACACAAUUCGCCAAGGUCGCACAGCAAGUCAGGGUGCCGCUAAGACUAGGACCUACAGCUCUGCCUCCUGGCCCAGGCUCCUCAGCACCUGGGCCCCAGAGGACAGCCUGUGGGAGGCCCACAUGGCCACUGCACCAUGAACCAAGGACCUGGUCCGGGUCCACCUCCACCAAGUGCUGGCCGUGUGUCACUGGGGUCACUCCACUCUCUGCAUUAGGUCUCAGUCAUCCAAGACCAUCUUUCAAGGGCCGUCACUCCAAUUAUGAGUCUGGGAUUUUCUGAAAUUGAGCAUUUUGGCCAGGCUGUGGGGUCCCUCUAUGACUGCCUGUAAGACACUGCCAAGGGGACUUUCUUCCUUUCACCAGACUGAAGCUAAGAAGUGCUGGAGACAGCAGUUGCUUUAGCCACAGGCUGUGUAGACCACCUGAGGAUGACCUGGGGGUCUGUUUUGUGCACCUUGGAACCCAUCGGAUCCCUCCAAUGACACAUUUGUCCAGAGCAAGACAAGAUCACACUUUGACAGCCCUCUGUCAAGAUCCUUGCUCCAAAUCUCCAGACUAGCAGCCAGGAGUCUCCAUGCUGUUCUGAAGAAGCAGAUUCCUCACCCACCCUUCAACUCCUUCCCAGGAGGUAAUCCUCCUCCAAAUCUCUGGAAAAGAUACACCUCCUCUUCUCUGAUAAAGGCUGGGGGGUGAUGCCCCUCCCCCAGUUUCCCAAUAAAGCUAUGCAAGACAGGAGCAAGGGAUCUCACGGCCUGUUUUUGCUACAAAAACCCUUUUUCGGAAAAAAUAAUAAAGAAAGGAAUCAGCCAAUCCCUC
rnacentral:lncRNA from 1 species